rnacentral:rRNA from 1 species
GCGAGAAAACUUUGCAAUGUGCGAAAGCACGACAAGGUUAAUCCGAGUGGUUUCUGCUAAAGAAACCUUUUGUCAGUCCUAGAAACACUAACGAAUAAGGGGUGGGCAAGUUCUGGUGUCAGCCGCCGCGGUAAAACCAGCACCUCAAGUGGUCAGGAUGAUUAUUGGGCCUAAAGCAUCCGUAGCCCGUUUUGUAAGUUUUCGGUUAAAUCCAUGCGCUUAACGUAUGGGCUGCCGGGAAUACUGCAUAACUAGGAAGUGGGAGAGGUAGACGGUACUCGGUAGGAAGGGGUAAAAUCCUUUGAUCUAUUGAUGACCACCUGUGGCGAAGGCGGUCUACCAGAACACGUUCGACGGUGAGGGAUGAAAGCUGGGGGAGCAAACCGGAUUAGAUACCCAAGUAGUCCCUGAGCGGGCUGGCAAGGCGCAU